rnacentral:rRNA from 1 species
GUCUAUAAUCAUGCCACCCUGAAUGCGCCCCAUCUGAUCUUGUCUGAUCUCAGAAGCUAAGCAGGGUCGAGCCUGGUUAGCACUUGGAUGGGAAAAAGAUUCAGAAUAUAGAAA